rnacentral:rRNA from 1 species
UACGGAGGGGUUAGCGUUGUUCGGAAUUACUGGGCGUAGAGCGCGCGUAGGCGGAUUGGAAAGUUGGGGGUGAAAUCCCGGGGCUCAACCCCGGAACUGCCUCCAAAACUUCCAGUCUGGAGUUCGAGAGAGGUGAGUGGAAUUCCGAGUGUAGAGGUGAAAUUCGUAGAUAUUCGGAGGAACACCAGUGGCGAAGGCGGCUCACUGGCUCGAUACUGACGCUGAGGUGCGAAAGUGUGGGGAGCAAACAGG